rnacentral:lncRNA from 1 species
AAAAGGCAGCUCGAUGCACUAAGCUCCCGCAAUGAAGGGGUCGGUGCGAUCAUUUCAAAUGUCGUAAUCUAUGUCUGUCGCGUUUUGAGCAUCGAAACGUCUGAUCAGAUGUCCAUGUUCAUCGUAUAGAUCGAGGUUCUUGCAAGGUGCUCAAAUGUCGUAAUCUAUGUCUGUCGCGUUUUGAGCAUCAGAACGUCUGAUCAGAUGUCCUUGUUCAUCGUAGAGAUCGAGGUUCUUGCAAGGUGCAGGGAAGAUGGUGCCAAUUACGCGACCUUGAACGAAAGCACAUUGGAAUAUAUGUUUCUUCUUGUACGUUAACCCAACCGACAUAUCUCUGAAUGUAACGUUCCUUACCCAGAUUUCUUCACUACCGUGGAUUUGAACAGGCACGC